rnacentral:rRNA from 1 species
AUUAAUCAGCAUGGGUUCUGGCUUAAGAGGCGUUCAGCCAUUAUCCAACAGACUUAGCUUCGCAACACUGGUUUGUCAACCAAUUGCUGUACCAUUUGUCUGGGCCAACUAUUCCUUUCGUACUAAGAUGGCCUACUGUC